rnacentral:rRNA from 1 species
UACGUAGGGUGCAAGCGUUUGUCCGGAAUUAUUGGGCGUAAAGAGCUCGUAGGCGGUUUGUCGCGUCUGCUGUGAAAACCCGAGGCUCAACCUCGGGCCUGCAGUGGGUACGGGCAGACUAGAGUGCGGUAGGGGAGAUUGGAAUUCCUGGUGUAGCGGUGGAAUGCGCAGAUAUCAGGAGGAACACCAAUGGCGAAGGCAGAUCUCUGGGCCGUAACUGACGCUGAGGAGCGAAAGCAUGGGGAGCGAACAGGG